CAGGUCAGCAUACUGCCGUGAAUACGUUCCCGGGCCUUGUACACACCGCCCGUCACACCAUGAGAGUUGGGAAUACCCGAAGCCUGUGAGCUAACAUUUAUGAGGCAGCAGUCGAAGGUAGAAUCAAUGAUUGGGGUGAAGUCGUAACAAGGUACC
rnacentral:rRNA from 1 species